UGCAUGGGGCUAAACUUUGAUCCAAAUCAGG
rnacentral:piRNA from 1 species